rnacentral:rRNA from 1 species
GAUGAACGCUAGCGGCAGGCCUAACACAUGCAAGUCGAGGGAGAAGCCCUUUCGGGGGCAGAAACCGGCGCACGGGUGCGUAACGCGUAUGCAACCUACCUUUCACAGGGGGAUAGCCCGAAGAAAUUUGGAUUAAUACCCCAUAAUAUUAUUGGAUGGCAUCAUUUGAUAAUUAAAACUGCGGUGGUGAAAGAUGGGCAUGCGUCCUAUUAGCUAGUUGGAGUGGUAACGGCACCCCAAGGCUACGAUAGGUAGGGGUCCUGAGAGGGAGAUCCCCCACACUGGUACUGAGACAGGGACCAGACUCCUACGGGAGGCAGCAGUGAGGAAGAUUGGUCAAUGGUCGGAAGACUGAACCAGCCAUGCCGCGUGCAGGAAGAAUGCCUUAUGGGUGGUAAACUGCUUUUAUAUGGGAAGAAUAAGGCGUACGUGUACGUUGAUGACGGUACCAUAUGAAUAAGCAUCGGCUAACUUCGUG